rnacentral:misc_RNA from 1 species
ACCUUAAAUGUUAUUGGUAAACAAACAAUUCAGUGAUAAAACAUGUGUACAGUUGUGGUGCAAUUCACAACAGUGAAAAUUAUUACUUUGUGUCAGAAAUGGAGAGUGAGGUUUAAAACGUGAUCCUCUCAGUUUUAUAUAUUGUAAAGUUAGAUGUUGUUUUGGACAUUUAAAUUCAAGUAUUUACACCUAGGUUUCAGUUUAUUUGUGUGUGUGUGUGCAUUUUUGCAUAGGUUUUAUAUAUUACCGGGUCUCUAAUAAUCAAAAUUAUGAGUUAAAAACCUUCAUUGUCAUAUAAAUUUUCUUGUUCAAAAGUAAUUGUUGUCUAAUAAGAAACACGAUGUACGAAUUUAGUUUCUGUGUAUACUAGUAAUUGGCCUUGAUUUUGUAGGUUGUCACCUUUGGGUUGUGAUUUUACAUGCUCUAAGUAGUCCCUCCAUCAAGUCCUUAAUUCAUUCCACAUUUUAUCCCCCUCCCUUUCACAAACAUUUUCUCUCGUUUUAAACUGAAAUAAUUCAAAGACGUACAUUUACCUGCCGUUUUAUGUGUGACUUUUUUGUUGAUUUUUUUUUCAUAUUUUUUUCUUUUUGGUAGAAUACAGCCGCAUAAAUGAUGUUAGUUGAAAAAGUUUGCAAGUUCAUUGUAAAUAAAUCAAAUGUACUGGCCUUUUACGAUGUAAUUUCAGCAAUAAUUAUCAUUUGUUUUAUGAGCUAUGUGCCAAUAUACUCAUUGUAUACAAAAUUGUUUCAUUGUUUUGCUGUACAUUGGCAUUUUUAUUAAUUUUUUGAUUUAUCUUUUUUUGAGAUUUAAUUAAAUUUUCUGUAAUCCACAUGUAUUUAUAUUAAUCUUGUUAAUACAUAUUCAUUUUUUUUAAAUGCAUUUUACAUAUUUUGCCAAUCUGACAUUUAACUUCAUUUUCCUUUUGAAAGCAUCUUACACAACAUCUUUUGGGGCUAUUUUCAUUACCUUUUCUAAAAAUCAUUAACACAUUCUUCAGACACACUACAAUGUACACUUGACAUAAACUUGACAUAAACUUAUUUUAAGCCAUUUGUAUUUCAUUUUUGUUUUUUGAAUUUUGUUAAAAUAUUAACAAGCACAAAAAAAAUCAUUCUAUAGGCAAGAGUAAAAUCAUGUAAACUUGAGAUGUAUUUUUAUGUAUUAGUUUAUGAAAAUGAAUAAGCAAAGAUGAAAAGGCAACUAAAAGAAAAGCAUAAAAAUAUGAAAAGUAACAUCUCACAAAGUGUAUAUAUGUAUAUACAUAAUAUUUAUGUAAGUCAUUUCAAAUUUUUGUGUUGUCACGGUAACAUCAUCACAUGACCACUAUGUCUCCUUGGCGACAGGAACAUCUUGUCCUGACUAGUCACAGUUUCUUUGUAUGUUUUUCUAUACUGCUGAUACCUUUUGCAUGUUUAAGAUUAGGUGAUUUUUAUUACAGCAAUAAUUUGUUUAAGGUUUCUGUAGAAGAUUUGAUUUUACAAUAAAAAACAAUUUUAAUUUU